rnacentral:tRNA from 1 species
GGUCAGAUGGCCGAGCGGUCUAAGGCGCCACGUUAAGGCCGUGGUCUCGUAGAGGCGUGGGUUCGAAUCCCACUCUGAUCA